rnacentral:lncRNA from 1 species
GAUUCCUGGAAUUCUUCAGCCAUGAUUUCUAUCCCUACAGCCCCCAUUCCACAUCCCACACCCCACAUCCCACAUCCCACAUCCCACAUCCCACAUCCCAUAUCCAAUAUCCCAUAUCCCAUAUCCCCCUAUCCCAUAUCCCAUAUCUCCUAUCCCAUAUCCCACAUCCCAUAUCCCAUAUCCCAUAUCCCAUAUCCCAUAUCCCCCUAUCCCAUAUCCCAUAUCCCACACCCCACAUCCCACAUCCCACAUCCCAUAUCCCACAUCCCAUAUCCCAUAUCCCCUAUCCCAUAUCCCCCUAUCCCAUAUCCCAUAUCCCAUAUCCCAUAUCCCACAUCCCAUACCCCAUAUCCCAUAUCCCAUAUCCCCCUAUCCCCUAUCCCAUAUCCAAUAUCCCAUAUCCCACAUCCCAUAUCCCCCUAUCCCAUAUCCCACAUCCCAUAUCCCACAUCCCAUAUCCCGUUAUCCCAUAUCCCACAUCCCACAUCCCAUAUCCCAUAUCCCAUAUCCCAUAUUCCCUAUCCCAUAUCCCAUAUCCCAUAUCACAUAUCCCACAUCCCACAUCCCCUAUCCCACAUCCCACAUCCCAUAUCCCGUUAUCCCAUAUCCCAUAUUCCGUUAUCCCAUAUCCCAUAUCCCACAUCCCAUAUCCCAUAUCCCAUUAUCCCACAUCCCAUAUCCCAUAUCCCAUAUCCCAUAUCCCACAUCCCAUAUCCCAUAUCCCAUAUCC